rnacentral:rRNA from 1 species
UACGUAGGGUGCAAGCGUUAAUCGGAAUUACUGGGCGUAAGGCGUGCGCAGGCGGUAAUGUAAGACAGAUGUGAAAUCCCCGGGCUCAACCUGGGAACUGCAUUUGUGACUGCAUUGCUGGAGUGCGGCAGAGGGGGAUGGAAUUCCGCGUGUAGCAGUGAAAUGCGUAGAUAUGCGGAGGAACACCGAUGGCGAAGGCAAUCCCCUGGGCCUGCACUGACGCUCAUGCACGAAAGCGUGGGGAGCAAACAGG